GCUUAGCCUAAAAGAGCCCGGACCCACACGCAGUUUAGAUGCAGCUUUCCAAAGUUAUGCUGCGCUUUAGGGGAGGAACGACCACCGGUUCUCCAGGUUCCGGUCGCGAUCCGGUGGACCUGCUUCGGCUUACAUCAUGCUCUCUUCAGCUUUACCCGGUGCUUCCAAUUCCUGAGCCUUGUGCAGGGUUUCACUGUGUGCAUCAGGUUGCUUCAUGGCCUGCUUGGAAUUCCUACUUUUCAAGUCUGCUAAGAUCCAAGACAUACAUGUGAUUGACCACAAUGAAUAAAAAUCACACCUGGGAAGUUCCAAGGUGAACUCUGAUCCUAUGAAUAAGGCUGACCACAAGUUCAGUGAGACCCUGGAACCCACUGUUGAUUGACUCUUUUACAGUAGAUGGCAAGGAGGAAAACAUCUAUAAUUAGAGUCUCAAGAUCUGUAAAAUGUGCAGAACGAGGUCAUUGUGCACAUGAUCCUCACGGGAAGCUGAAGCAUCAUCCUCAUCGCUGCUGAAAUUCUCCAGAAUCCACUCAAGAUUCCAUGAAGUUGACAUAUGGGAACCAAAGAUUAUGUGAAAUUGACAUAUGGGAACCAUCUUCUUCCUUAUCCAUUGAUUUGCCAGAUGUUAUGCUGAGAUCUUUCAGGAGCAGCUGAAUAGUCUUCAUCCUUAUAGCUACCUUCAUAAAUGAUGUCCAGAGGAGAAUUGUAUUCUAUGUUCUUGAAGCUGCCUUGGUCUUCCAUGGGACCUUCUCCAAUGCCCUGUAACAAGGAAGCUGCUUCAGUAUGUCCUCGACAGAAAGAUUUUCACUUGCUUUUGAGUUCACGUUGACCACAGAUGAGACCUCCUUCUCUGACCUGUCACUUGGAAAAUCCCCUACCAGGUCUUCAGCAGAAGCUUCAGUGAAUUGCUCCCCAGUGUGUACUCUGUUAUGUGACCAGAUGGUUUUGACCCACUGCUUGGGGCAGGCAGCAUAUCUUCUGGACCACUGAAGAUAUGUUUCUCACAGAUGCAACUAUCUGCGGCUGUUGUCACAGUUUUAAUUUUCAAGACUUGAACUCGCUGCCAUGUCCACUGAAGAAGGGUUCAACUUUAACACUGAUGAGCAGGUGCUGGAAGGCCACUUCAGCACCUUCGGGCCUAUCUCUGUGGUGGUUGUCAAGGAAACUCAGCGGUCCAGGGUUUUGGUUUCGUCACCAUCACCAACCCAGAGCAUGCCUCAGAUGCCAUGAGAGCCAUGAAUGGAGAGUCCCUGGAUGGUCACCAGAUCCGCGUGGAUCAUGCAGGCAAGUCUGCUGGGGAACCAGAGGAGGUGCUUUUGGGACCCAUGGGCGUGGUCGCAGCUACUCUAGAAGUGGUGGGAACCAGGACAAUGGGAGUGACAGGUGUGACAGCUGACCUGGAGGAUAUAGAUAUGGAUAUGGACAGUCCAGACCCUAUAAUGUCAGAAACCAGGGUGGUUAUGAACGCUACUCAGAAGGAAUUACAGAGGCAAUUAUGACAACUGAAAUGAGACAUGUGCACAUAAUAUACACAAGGAAUAGCUCUUCUGAUCCAGGAUCAUCCUUCCAAAAGGCUGUAUUUAUAAAGGUUUUUGGAGCUGCAUGGAAACAUUUUAUUUUAUAGUAUAUCAACCUCUUGUUUUUAAAUUGAGCUCCCAAGGUAGCUAAAGACCUUUUAGACAGCUCCAUCUUUGUUUAAAUUUUUUCCUCCUAUUUGAAGCCAAAUUAUGAAACAUUUGCAGGGUCUGAGUAUUUUUCUUUUUACCAGUUUUUUAGUUUGAGCUCUCUGGAUUAUUGGAUCUAGCAAUAACUGGUCCUGGCAUUUGACCAGACUGGUUUUUGAAAAUUAAUGUGUAUCCAGGGAUGUUUUAAAAACCUGUACACAGUAUUUAUUGUGGUUAGGAAGCAAUUUCCAAAUGUACCUAUAAGAAAUCUGCAUCAGGAACAUGAUUAUCUAGGGAUUUUCUUUAAUUCAGAUCACCAAACUGACUAUAUAGAAGAGUUGCUUUAAAAUGUUUGCAAAUGUCUUUUUUUUUAAUACCAGAAGAAAAAAAUGUUGUUUGUCUCAUAUACUGCUUAGGAUGUCCUUCACAGAGCUUAUUAAAAAGAUGAAACUGAAAAAAAAAAAAAUUAGAUACUUCUUUUUGAGAAUCUGAGAGUUAAAUUUGUCUUAAUGUUUUAGGAUGUAGCCCAGAGGUGAGUCUGAAGAAAUAGAUGGGGUUUGUCCCAUGUUGGGACUAGAAAAUGAUGAGCUGCUGGGAGGUAAUGUCUGCUGGGAACAUGAACCACACUUUCUUUAGGGGCAUCCUGCUGAGGAAAAGGGUUCUGCUCACAUCACAAAGGGAUACAAGUGCACUUUCUAAAGGGGCGUUCCACCCCCAUUAGAACAGACCUUUCAGUGCUGGUGCCUUAAGUUGGGUGAUCAGCCCAGGUAUGAGGAAAAAGGGUAAAGAGAGACAGAGUGCUGCCAGCCCUGGAGAAGGGACAGGAAUGGAGACACUCACUGCUCUGAGGCCACUUGAGAUCACCUGAUUUGGGAGCAUCCAAAGCAGGAUGUCUGGCUGUCUUCAUGGGAGAAUUUAGAGUGAGAAAGAGGGAGUCUGAGUUCCCCAAAACCUGUGUGCCAAUUGUGCCACACAAAGGGAUUGGGGACUUUUAACCAGAAAGGAUAGGAGAGGGUCUUCCUCCCUUCUGGACAAGGCAGCCAAAGUUGUUUACCCUCUGGCCUUCAGGCUACAACAAGGUGUGGGCCUGGCCAGUUGCGAUCAAUUGCCAGAGGGAUGCUAGACUUCGUCUGCUGGAAGACAGGAAAGGAAAGCAAACUCUGAACUCUCACCUAAUCAGGCAGUGGUAGUCAGACAUCUUUUCACAGGGACCUUCUGGUCUGCUGAGGAGUGGCCCUGGCUGGGGACCUUCAGCUGUCUCUGUGCUUGGAUGCUAUCACCAAGAGGUUAGAGUUGGAGGACAGGAAAAGGAGAGAGUAGGGGAAGAGGUCCCCGAACAGUCCCUGUACAGGCCACCAAAACAUCACAGAUGUGACUAUCUGGGGCCGGACUGGUGGUGCAGGUGGUAAAGGAAUUUACCAAGAUAGUUGUAGGUAGAGAAAGGCAGAUUUAUUAGAGAAAAUAUGAAAAUACAUUGCAAGAUUGCAACGGGCAGCACAGCAGAGAAGGGGCUGCCUGCAAAAAGGCAAGGGCUGGAGGGAAGUUUUAUAGGGUUGUGCUAGAGGGGGCUGCAUGCAGAGGUCAUCUCUCAGAACAGUUGUUCAUUGUUCUCCACCUGGGGCCCUUCCCCACCUGAGGCCCCUUCUUUAUUGUCGCUUACU